UUCUUGAAUCGUAUUAGUUCUUGGAAUAAGGUCUGGGAAAGACCGGUGCCAGCCGCCGCGGUAAUACCGGCAGCUCAAGUGGUCGUCGCUUUUAUUGGGCCUAAAACGUCCGUAGCCUGUUUUGGUAAAUCUGUGGGUAAAUCAACGAGCUUAACUCGUUGAAUUCUGCAGAGACUGCCAGACUAGGGACCGGGAGAGGUAUGAGGUACUCUGAGGGUAGGGGUAAAAUCCUGUCAUCCUCAGAGGACCACCUGUUGCGAAGGCGUCAUACUGGAACGGAUCCGACGGUCAGGGACGAAGCCUAGGGGCACGAACCGGAUUAGAUACCCGGGUAGUCCUAGGUGUAAACGCUGUGGAUUUGGUGUGUGGGGUCCGCAAUGGGCCCCAUGUGCCGGAGUGAAGAUGUUAAAUCCACUGCCUGGGGAGUACGGUCGCAAGGCUGAAACUCAAAGGAAUGACGGAUCACUA
rnacentral:rRNA from 1 species